ACGAACGCUGGCGGCGUGCCUAAUACAUGCAAGUAGAACGCUGAAGAGAGGAGCUUGCUCUUCUUGGAUGAGUUGCGAACGGGUGAGUAACGCGUAGGUAACCUGCCUUGUAGCGGGGGAUAACUAUUGGAAACGAUAGCUAAUACCGCAUAACAAUGGAUGACACAUGUCAUUUAUUUGAAAGGGGCAAUUGCUCCACUACAAGAUGGACCUGCGUUGUAUUAGCUAGUAGGUGAGGUAAUGGCUCACCUAGGCGACGAUACAUAGCCGACCUGAGAGGGUGAUCGGCCACACUGGGACUGAGACACGGCCCAGACUCCUACGGGAGGCAGCAGUAGGGAAUCUUCGGCAAUGGGGGCAACCCUGACCGAGCAACGCCGCGUGAGUGAAGAAGGUUUUCGGAUCGUAAAGCUCUGUUGUAAGUCAAGAACGGGUGUGAGAGUGGAAAGUUCACACUGUGACGGUAGCUUACCAGAAAGGGACGGCUAACUACGU
rnacentral:rRNA from 2 species